GACUCUCGGCAACGGAUAUCUCGGCUCUCGCAUUGAUGAAGAACGUAGCGAAAUUCGAUACUUGGUGUGAAUUACAGAAUCCCGUGAACCAUCGAGUCUUUGAACGCAAGUUGCACCCGAAGCCAUUAGGCCGAGGGCAUGUCUGCCUGGGUGUCA
rnacentral:rRNA from 1 species